rnacentral:rRNA from 1 species
AUUGAACGCUGGCGGCAGGCUUAACACAUGCAGGUCGAGCGGAGCGAGGGUGCUUGCACCUUAGCUUAGCGGCGGACGGGUGAGUAAUGCUUAGGAAUCUGCCUAUUAGUGGGGGACAACAUUCCGAAAGGAAUGCUAAUACCGCAUACGCCCUACGGGGGAAAGCAGGGGAUCUUCGGACCUUGCGCUAAUAGAUGAGCCUAAGUCGGAUUAGCUAGUUGGUGGGGUAAAGGCCUACCAAGGCGACGAUCUGUAGCGGGUCUGAGAGGAUGAUCCGCCACACUGGGACUGAGACACGGCCCAGACUCCUACGGGAGGCAGCAGUGGGGAAUAUUGGACAAUAGGCGGAAGCCUGAUCUAGCCAUGCCGCGUGUGUGAAGAAGGCCUUUUGGUUGUAAAGCACUUUAAGCGAGGAGGAGGCUACUUAGAUUAAUACUCUGGGAUAGUGGACGUUACUCGCAGAAUAAGCACCGGCUAACUCUGUGCCAGCCGCCGCAGUAA